rnacentral:rRNA from 1 species
AUUGAACGCUGGCGGCAGGCCUAACACAUGCAAGUCGAACGAGUGGCGGACGGGUGAGUAAUGUCUGGGAAACUGCCUGAUGGAGGGGGAUAACUACUGGAAAAGGUAGCUAAUACCGCAUACCAUCGGAUGUGUCCAGAUGGGAUUAGCUAGUAGGUGGGGUAAAGGCUCACCUAGGGGACGAUCCCUAGCUGGGCUGAGAGGAUGACGAGCCACACUGGAACUGAGACACGGUCCAGACUCCUACUGGAGGCAGCAGUGGGGAAUAUUGCACAAUUGUCGCAAGCCUGAUGCAGCAAUGCCGGGUGUAUGAAGAAGGAUUUCGGGUUGUAAAGUACUUGCAGCGGGGAGGCGUGACCCGCAGAAGAAGCAACUGCUAACUCCGUGCCAGCAGCCGCGGUAAUUC